ACCUCCACAGCCCAAAUGUGGGAUUUCUGGGUGGAAUUUCCAAGGAAUUCACUCGCACAGGGUUGAAGCAGGUUGCACCCCACAGCUGUGUUUGCUGCCCAGCAGAAGCACCUGAAUUUCAGGAUAAUUUUCCCCUUCCCCCAGAAGAACUGUCUGGAAGGAGAGAACAGGGAAAGGCAGGUCCUGCACCUGGGGAGGAACAACCAGCACAGGCUGGGGGCACCUGCUGGAGCAGCUCUGUGAGGAAGGACCUGGGGACAGCGAGAGUGACCUGGGGCCCAACGGGAUCCUGGGGGCAUCAGGAAGAGCAUUCCCAGCAGGGCUUUUUCUGGAGGUGAAGGAUUCUGAUGGAUCUGGGGCCAGGAAAAGGGAUGGAAAGGUAACACCCAAAGGACUUUGAGGACUUGUUCCUUAACUUUCAAGAUGCUUCCUGACCCAGAACCUGCCUGUCCGUGGGUUUAACAGGUCCAUGGGUUGGUCCAGCCCUGGACAGUCAUGGAUAACAGGGGUUGAUGGGGGUGGGAAAUGACUCUGCCUGACAGUGAGGGACAGAGAUGUCCCUGUGUGUUUCUGACCCCCUGCCCCAUGGCCCUGUCUUUGUGUUGGACAUAACAUUAAGGUAACAGGUUUCUUUCUUUUCAAUGGAUCCAUGGAAUGGAUUAAUGUCACCUAUUUUUCUUGAAAGAGUAGAAUUUAAUGUCUAAAGUGGAUUCUGGUCCAGAAAGUGCAGCUUUCAGUUUUGGGUUCCACAAUAUGGGACAGAUCUAAAGCUAUUGGAGAGCACUCAAAGGAGGCUGUGAAGAUGGUGGAGGCUCUUGAGGGGAAUCUGAGGCUGAGGGCACCUGGAAUGUUCAGCUGGAGCAGAGGACACUGAGGGCAGAGCUCCCCAGGAGCUGCAGCUCCUCCAGAGGGCAGCUCCCAUCUCUGCUCUGGGACAGGGACAGCACCCAGGGAACGGCUGGAGCUGGGCCAGGGCAGGCUCAGGCUGGAGAUCAGGGAAAGGCUCUUCUCCCAGAGGGUGCUGGCACUGCCCAGGCUCCCCAGGGAAUGGGCACGGCCCCGAGGCUGCCAGAGCUCCAGGAGCCUUUGGACAGCGCUGCCAGGGAUGCCCAGGGUGGGGUUGUUGGGGGUCUGGGCAGGGCUGGGGGCUGGGCUGGGUGAUCCUGUGUGUUCCAGCUCAGGAGAUUCCAUGAUUCUGUGACUCCAUGCCAUCCCAGGUGAGUGUGAUCCCUACUUAUUCUUCUUUUGUCCCCCCAAGUGUUUGUGUAAGGAAAGAAGGUUCUGGAGCGGGUGACCUCAGGCCAGGUUGUGUCCCCAUCACCUCAGUGUCACCCCCUGCCCUGAUCUGUGGCAGGAAGGACCUGGCAGAGAGCAAACAUUUGCAUCUUUCCUGAGUGCAUCACAUUUACCUCAAGCAACUUUUCUUUGACUAAUUGGAUCCAAGCAGAGAAAGAGUUCAAUAAUUCUCUUUUACCCUCAUGCCAGCAACUGGCAAAUUGCAGGAAAGAUGAGCCUGGAGCCAGAUGUUGGCCAGGAAAUAAAUUUGCCC